UACAGGGGGGGCAAGCGUUGUUCGGAAUUACUGGGCGUAAAGCGCGCGCAGGCGGCCCGCGAGGUGUCACGUGAAAGCCCCGGGCUCAACCCGGGAGGGUCGUGGCAAACCGGCGGGCUUGAGGCCGGUAGAGGUGGGUGGAACUCCUGGUGGAGUGGUGAAAUGCGUAGAGAUCAGGAAGAACACCCGUGGCGAAGGCGGCCCACUGGGCCGGUACUGACGCUGAGGCGCGAAGGCGUGGGGAGCGAACGGG
rnacentral:rRNA from 1 species